UUCUGGAGUCUGGCAAUCAAAUUUCUCCAUGGGCUGCUGGAUUAUGAUGAGAAGAGUCCCACGGUUCACAUUGUCAUGGAGAAGGGAGACACUGUGUUCUUCCACUCCCUGUUUAUUCAUGGCUCCAGAGCAAACAAGACAUCAGGUUUCCAAAAGGUAGGAGACCAGCUGCAGAUAUUUCUUUAGCUGCUGAACACCAUCAAAGUCUUAACUAGGAACUGAUUACAGAAUAAGUGGCUUGAUUGGACUUGAUGAUCUUAAAGGUCUUUUCCAACCCAGCUGAUUUUAUGCUGUGACUGUGUGGGUGCAGAGUAAAAAUCCUAAUGAACACACGGAUCUGCUCUGAUUGCCACUCUGGUUGCUGGUAAUGGGAGGUCAAGGAAGUAUCGCUUUAGGUCACAUGUGUCCACGAUCUUGAUGCAUGAGCUUUUUCCUACCAGACAGUUGUAAUCGAUGUGGUAGUGAGUGAUGCCCACACAGAGUAUAAGCUGUCACCUCACCAAACAGGCUUUGCAACAUGGUUUUGCAUUGGAGAUUAGAAUAAAAGGAGAAAAGUUUGGCUUGCACUCUUGUCCCACAUGUACUUUGUUUUUGGAGGGAAGAAAACCGGGCAGCAAGUGGGUUGGGGAAAAUGAAAUGAUGUGAAAUGGUUGGGUGAGUGCAGCUGACCAAGAGAGUGGCAUGUGAUGGCCCAAGAGACCACUGCACAGGCUCUGCCCUGAACAACUGGUGGUAGUGUGCUUAUUGUGAAAGGGUGUUAAGUUUUCACGGAGCUGAUUUUACUUGGGCAUUAAUAAACCCAAACUAGUGAGUGCAGAGGGAGAAAGUGCUGAAGGUCUAAUUUUUCCUUAAAGUGGUUAUAAAAUCCAAGGAAAGCUCGUUUGUGGCAGUGGAGCAAGAUGCUCUCAAUUAACAUUUCAGCAGUACCUAAGAAGGAAGAUGCUUAAUGUAGCUAAAAACCAAACCUGACUUCCUAGAUUAUUAUGAGAGAAGCUGGGUAUCUUCCGGCCCAUUUUUGUACAUACACAGGGAACUUUAUAGCUGGAGAAACAACCCUGCAGCCAGACGAACAUUUCCUGGCUGGGGAAAAGGGCUGAUUUAUCAUCAGCUUACUCCUCAGUUUAAUCUUAAAGAUGGCUCUGAGAAUGCAUGUUCAGCAUUAUAUUUCCAAUGUGACUUUGCUUAACUCUUCAGCAACACCUUCUUGAUUCACCAUCAGUGCUAACUGUGGUGGUGGAGGUUUCUGUCAUGUCAAUCCCGUUUAAUGACUUGCACCCACUGGUAGUGUUAGGGCACUCACAUCUCUCUCUUCUGGCUGCUCCUCCCUAACACAGCCUGGCAUGUGGUUGGGCUUCUUUGCAAGGCUGGAGGUCUUUCUAUCACGGGACAGCUUCAGUGACAGCAUAGAACCAGCUGGGCCUGUCAGGUCACUCUGCUGCAAGAAAAGUCUCUCUUAAAAUAGGCUGAGGCCCCUAAAACGCCCAAUACAUUAAUGUCCCCCACUCCUGGUUUGCCCCAGGGGUUAGGGCCUUUGUUUCUUUAUCCUGUUUUUGCAUAUAGGGAUGGAGAGUAUCGCUUUCAUUUCUUGGCUCCCAAGGAGGCGCAUACCUUCUCUACAUACCACACUCCUGUGGGCCUGUGUGAAGAUGAGUUAUCAAAGCUCCUGUGGAAGCAAGCAGAAGAGGUACCAACAAGGCCACUGGGACAUGCGAGACUGUUGGCAGUUUCACCAAACCACUGAGGUACUAGUGUUUUUAGGCUCUAAAAAAUACCCUGUGAUCCUAUGGGGCAUGAGCUAGGGGCAGCAGAAGGAUCAGGUCCAGGACAAGCUGUGGCAGCAGCCGAGGUUAACAUGGCCACGACUGGAAAGACUUCAGGACAAUUUAAAAUGCCAAACCCCAGGUAAAAGCUAUUACAUGUAAUUGCUUUAAAACCACUCAAACCAGUGCCAGAUUCAUUAAAAUGCUUCUCAAAGUGG